UUGGCUGUCCUGGAAAUCACUCUGUAGACCAGAGAUCCACCUUCCUCUGCCUCCUAAGUGCUGGGAUUAAAGGCCUCUGCCACUAACUCCUGGCACACACAAACAUCUUAUUUUAUUAUUUGUGUUAUAGGUCUGUGGUAGAAUGGUUGUUGACCAUGCUUGAGGCCCUGGUUCCAAUCCCUAGUACUUUGAAAUUGUCUUAAUUUUUUUAGUUACAACAAACAUGUUUCAAAAUUUUAUGAUGCCUCUGUUAUGUUGUAUAUCUUUACAUAAUAACUGAUUUCACUUUUGCUUUUUAAAAGCACAUAGUAUUAUAAGUUAUAUUUAAUUCACAUGUUAGUCUGAAAAACUAUUUAGUUUAUUGACACUAAAAAUUGAUUAAAAGAAAUGAAGCUAGUUUUCAAAUGUAUUGAAUUAACAUAUAUCACAUUAAUUCUGUUUAUAUACCACCCCUCCAAAAAUGAAAUUCUAGAGUAUAAAAUAAUGAGAUUUUUAAGAAUCUCAUCUAGUCUUAUGUUGGAAUCAUUGUAUCCCAGCACUUUGUUAUUGCUUUGCUGUUACUAUGGUUUAGUGAGAAAUUUUAUUUUCCUACUUUAUCAGUUAAUAUCUGACAACAAACAUUUAUUUAUUGCCAACUUUGUACUAAGUAUUGUAAUACUGUAUACAAAUUUAAAUAACUAUCUCAGUCUUUAAGUUGCUAACAAUGAAUUUAUCCUUAAGUAUAAGCAAAGAUAUAUACUAGUUUUGGAGAAAUGCUAUUGUGAAUGAACAGAGAAAUAUGGGAGCAAACUGAAGAUAUCCUGCUUUUGCUGUGGCUUUCUAUGUAUUAGUUCCCAAUUUUACAGCUUGAAAAUCAUAUAAUGAUUAUUUGGUUGUCUCUGUGAUUUGCAACUCCAGACAUAAUUUGAAUAGAUAAAACAAAACUGUUUAAAGUCUCAAUUUGUCAAUGAGAGAGAGAUGGACACCAUUCAUCUACAAAGCUCUAUUCAGAAAAGAAAAGGCAGAAGAAACAAAUGAACAUUGAUAUUGCAGUAUUGAUUAAAAGAUUUUUUUCAUUUCUACUAGAUGGACAUAAUUUCUGAGGAAUCAGGACACUAAGUACACAAAGUAAAAUGCAGCUUUAGCCCUAUGGGUUCAAAGUUCAGGUUUCUAAACAGACAUAGUGGUUUUGUCACUUCUUUCAUAAAAGCCCUUGUUCCCAGAAGAGUAGAUGAUUUACUGAUGUGCUAAAAUGUAUUUAUUUCAGGCAUUCAUUUCCUUGGCAUACACAAUUAAUGAUAGUAAUAUAAGUGUUUAUAUUGGGGAUUAACAGAGAGAUAGGACUAAUGCUGUAUUGAUGGGUAGUGCUUUUAUAUGUAUGUGGUGUGUCCCCCACAGUACUUUAUUCUGGAAACUUCUUCAUCAGCACUGCUAUGUUGACAUGCUAGGGGCUUUAAAGAAAUGGACAUAGUUAGGGGCUGGAAACAAUUUCUUGUAACUCCAGCUUAAGGAUAUCCAACACAUUUUAAUUGUCUGUGGACAUUGCAUUCACAUGUGCACAAUCACUCCCCACCACAUAUACACGUAUAAUUAAAAUUCGAUCUUCAGAAAAAAAAAUGGACCUAAUGAAAAGUUCUUAGAGAAUUAUGGGUGCAACUCUCAGAAGAGUACACUGGUCUCCUAGUAUGGGUUCUCAAGAGAGAAAACUGCUAUGAAUACCUGAGUCUGAACGUAGUCUGUUAUUGGAUUGUUUAUUCUCUCUGAUGUUCCCAUGCUUUCACUCUUUCGCACUUGCAAACUUACUGUUUGAGAUUCUAUCCUUUGGUUCCAAGCAGGUUACUACCAUGACAACAGGAAAUGAUGCAACAAUGCUUUAAGUGUUCUUACCAGAACAGAGUAUAUGUUGGUGCCAUGUACUUGAGCCUCCAGUACGGGAAUGAAUGUGCUGGUCUGGUUGAACUGACUCUCUAGUCAGGUGGACAUUCGAUUUCUCAUGGUAAAUUAACAGGUCGGUGUUCAGGUGUACUCGGAAACAUCCUGGGAAUUUCAUACAUGGACUAACAUCUCUGAAUCUGACGGCAGGGAAACGGAAAAUAUUGAGUUUCCAGAUCUGCAUCAUGAUCAAUAUCCCUAGG